ensembl:lncRNA
CAGAAAUGUUAAGUUUGUUCUCUUCAGCUCGCCCCAAAGCAUUCCAUUUCACACACACACACACACACACACACACACAUACACACACACACACACACACACACACACACACACACACACACACACACACACACACACACACACACACACACACACACACACACACACACACACACAUUUACUGCUAGCUAGGGCAGGUUGUGGCCUCUCUCCCAGUUCAAACAAACCAGGUGUGUUUUCUACAUUAAAAGGCCUUCUGCUGUAGUUCCACUAACGUGUUUUCUGAGGUGAAAGCCUAACGUGUUUUCUGAGGUGAAAGCCUAACGUGUUUUCUGAGGUGAAAGCCUAACGUGUUU